rnacentral:tRNA from 1 species
GAUUAAAUGGCUGAAGUUUAGGCGAUAAAUUGUAAAUUUAUAUAUAAGAGUAAUUCUUUUUAAUC